AUUGAACGCUGGCGGCAGGCCUAACACAUGCAAGUCGAACGAGUGGCGGACGGGUGAGUAAUGUCUGGGAAACUGCCCGAUGGAGGGGGAUAACUACUGGAAACGGUAGCUAAUCCCGCAUACCAUCGGAUGUGCCCAGAUGGGAUUAGCGAGUAGGUGGGUUAACGGCUCACCAAGGCAACGAUCCCUAGCUGGUCGGAGAGGAUGACCAGCCACACUGGAACGGAGCCACGGUCCAGACCCCUACGGUAGGCAGCAGUGGGGAAUAUUGCACAAUGGGCGCAAGCCGGAUGCAGACAUGCCGCGUGGAGUAAGAAGGCCUUGGGGUUGUAAAGUACUUUCAGUGAGGAGGCGGUACUCGCAGAAGAAGCACCGGCUAACUCCGUGCCAGCAGCCGCGGUAAUUC
rnacentral:rRNA from 1 species